GGGUUGUGAGGUUAAGCGACUAAGCGUACACGGUGGAUGCCCUGGCAGUCAGAGGCGAUGAAGGGCGUGCUAAUCUGCGAUAAGCGCCGGUAAGGUGAUAUGAACCGUUAUAACCGGCGAUACCCGAAUGGGGAAACCCAGUGUGACUCGUCACACUAUCAUUAACUGAAUCCAUAGGUUAAUGAGGCGAACCGGGGGAACUGAAACAUCUAAGUACCCCGAGGAAAAGAAAUCAACCGAGAUUCCCCCAGUAGCGGCGAGCGAACGGGGAGGAGCCCAGAGCCUGAAUCAGCAUGUGUGUUAGUGGAAGCGUCUGGAAAGGCGCGCGAUACAGGGUGACAGCCCCGUACACAAAAGCGCAUGUGCUGUGAGCUCGAUGAGUAGGGCGGGACACGUGGUAUCCUGUCUGAAUAUGGGGGGACCAUCCUCCAAGGCUAAAUACUCCUGACUGACCGAUAGUGAACCAGUACCGUGAGGGAAAGGCGAAAAGAACCCCGGCGAGGGGAGUGAAAAAGAACCUGAAACCGUGUACGUACAAGCAGUGGGAGCACCCUUUGGGGUGUGACUGCGUACCUUUUGUAUAAUGGGUCAGCGACUUAUAUUCUGUAGCAAGGUUAACCGAAUAGGGGAGCCGGAGGGAAACCGAGUCUUAACCGGGCGUUAAGUUGCAGGGUAUAGACCCGAAACCCGGUGAUCUAGCCAUGGGCAGGUUGAAGGUUGGGUAACACUAACUGGAGGACCGAACCGACUAAUGUUGAAAAAUUAGCGGAUGACCUGUGGCUGGGGGUGAAAGGCCAAUCAAACCGGGAGAUAGCUGGUUCUCCCCGAAAGCUAUUUAGGUAGCGCCUCGUGAAUUCAUCUCCGGGGGUAGAGCACUGUUUCGGCUAGGGGGCCAUCCCGGCUUACCAACCCGAUGCAAACUGCGAAUACCGGAGAAUGUUAUCACGGGAGACACACGGCGGGUGCUAACGUCCGUCGUGAAGAGGGAAACAACCCAGACCGCCAGCUAAGGUCCCAAAGUCAUGGUUAAGUGGGAAACGAUGUGGGAAGGCCCAGACAGCCAGGAUGUUGGCUUAGAAGCAGCCAUCAUUUAAAGAAAGCGUAAUAGCUCACUGGUCGAGUCGGCCUGCGCGGAAGAUGUAACGGGGCUAAACCAUG
rnacentral:rRNA from 1 species